rnacentral:rRNA from 1 species
AGCGAACGCUGGCGGCAGGCCUAACACAUGCAAGUCGAACGGUUUGAGUUUUAAGUUUACUUAAAACUCAAAUAGUGGCGGACGGGUGAGUAACGCGUGGGCAACCUGCCCUUUACAGGGGGAUAACACCGAGAAAUCGGUGCUAAUACCGCAUGAAGUAUCUCUGGCGCAUGUUAGAGAUAUCAAAGGAGAAAUCCGGUGAAGGAUGGGCCCGCGUCUGAUUAGCUAGUUGGUGGGGUAAAGGCCUACCAAGGCGACGAUCAGUAGCCGAUCUGAGAGGAUGAACGGCCACACUGGAACUGAGACACGGUCCAGACUCCUACGGGAGGCAGCAGUGGGGAAUAUUGCGCAAUGGGCGAAAGCCUGAUGCAGCAACGCCGCGUGGAGGAAGAAGGUCUUCGGAUUGUAAACUCCUGUCUUCAGGGACGAAUAAUGACGGUACCUGAGGAGGAAGCCACGGCUAACUACGUGCCAGCCGCCGCCGUAACAC